rnacentral:rRNA from 1 species
UACGUAUGGGGCAAGCGUUGUUCGGAUUUAUUGGGCGUAAAGGGCACGCAGGCGGAUUGUCAAGUUGGAUGUUUAAACGUCAGGCUCAACCUGAUACCAGCAUCCAAAACUGAUUUUCUAGAGUCUCGGAGAGGAAAGCGGAAUUCUCGGUGUAGCGGUGGAAUGCGUAGAUAUCGAGAGGAACAUCAAUGGCGAAGGCAGCUUUCUGGACGAAGACUGACGCUCAGGUGCGAAAGCGUGGGGAGCAAACAGG